GGCUCACCAAGGCUACGAUGGGUAGGGGUUCUUAGUGGAAGGUCCCCCACACUGGCACUGAGAUACGGGCCAGACUCCUACGGGAGGCAGCAGUAGGGAAUAUUGGUCAAUGGGCGCAAGCCUGAACCAGCCAUGCCGCGUGCAGGAUGAAGGCUCUAUGAGUUGUAAACUGCUUUUGUACAGGAGCAAAAAAAUCCCUGCGGGGGUUCUUGAGAGUACUGUAAGAAUAAGCACCGGCUAAUUCCGUGCCAGCAGCCGCGGUAAUACGGAAGGUGCAAGCGUUAUCCGGUUUUAUUGGGUUUAAAGGGUGCGUAGGCGGCUUAUUAAGUCAGUUGUGAAAUCCUAGUGCUUAACGCUAGAACUGCCAUUGAUACUAUUAGGCUUGAGUUAAGAAUAGGUA
rnacentral:rRNA from 1 species